GAUGAACGCUGGCGGCGUGCCUAAUACAUGCAAGUGGAGCGAACAGAUGAGGAGCUUGCUCCUCUGACGUUAGCGGCGGACGGGUGAGUAACACGUGGAUAACCUACCUAUAAGACUGGGAUAACUUCGGGAAGCCGGAGCUAAUACCGGAUAAUAUAUUGAACCGCAUGGUUCAAUAGUGAAAGACGGUUUUGCUGUCACUUAUAGAUGGAUCCGCGCCGCAUUAGCUAGUUGGUAAGGUAACGGCUUACCAAGGCAACGAUGCGUAGCCGACCCGAGAGGGUGAUCGGCCACACUGGAACUGAGACACGGUCCAGACUCCUACGGGAGGCAGCAGUAGGGAAUCUUCCGCAAUGGGCGAAAGCCUGACGGAGCAACGCCGCGUGAGUGAUGAAGGUCUUCGGAUCGUAAAACUCUGUUAUUAGGGAAGAACAAAUGUGUAAGUAACUAUGCACGUCUUGACGGUACCUAAUCAGAAAGCCACGGCUAACUACGUG
rnacentral:rRNA from 1 species